rnacentral:rRNA from 1 species
CCUACGGGAGGCAGCAGUGGGGAAUAUUGCACAAUGGGGGCAACCCUGAUGCAGCCAUGCCGCGUGAGUGAAGAAGGUUUUCGGAUUGUAAAGCUCUGUCGGACGUGACGAUAAUUACGGUAGCUUCUAAAGAAGCACCGGCAAACUUCGUGCCAGCAGCCGCGGUAAUACGAAGUGUGCGAGCGUUGUUCGGAAUUACUGGGCGUAAAGGGAGUGUAGGCGGUUAAGUAAGAUUUAGGUGAAAUGCCGGGGCUCAACCCCGGAACUGCUCUUAUGACUGUGGAACUAGAGUGAAGGAGAGGAUAGCGGAAUACCCAGUGUAGAGGUGAAAUUCGUAGAUAUUGGGUAGAACACCGGUGGCGAAGGCGGCUCUCUGGCCAUUUACUGACGCUGAGGCUCGAAAGCAUGGGGAGCAAACAGGAUUAGAUACCCGGGUAGUC